CCUACGGGAGGUAGCAGUGGGGGAUAUUGGACAAUGGGGGGAACCCUGAUCCAGCGACGCCGCGUGAGUGAAGAAGUAUUUCGGUAUGUAAAGCUCUGUCAGCAGGGAAGAAAGCAAUGACGGUACCUGACCAAGAAGCCCCGGCUAACUACGUGCAAGCAGCCGCGGUACUACGUAGGGGGCAAGCGUUAUCCGGAUUUACUGGGUGUAAGGGGAGCGUAGACGGCUGUGCAAGUCUGGGGUGAAAGGCGGGGGCCCAACCCCCGGACUGCUCUGGAGACUGGAUGGCUGGAGUGCAGGAGAGGUAAGCGGAAGUCAUGGUGUAGCGGUGAAAUGCGUAGAUAUUAGGAAGAACACCAGUGGCGAAGGCGGCUUACUGGACUGUAACUGACGUUGAGGCUCGAAAGCGUGGGGAGCAAACAGGAUUAGAUACCCCAGUAGUC
rnacentral:rRNA from 1 species